GGAAGCGUGGGGGAGUGGUUUAACCCAGCGGACUUGAAAUCCGCCGACCGGCAACGGUCCGUGAGUUCGAAUCUCACCGCUUCCGCCA
rnacentral:tRNA from 1 species